rnacentral:rRNA from 1 species
UGCCAGCAGCCGCGGUAAUACGGAGGGUGCAAGCGUUGUUCGGAAUUAUUGGGCGUAAAGAGCAUGUAGGCGGACUGUUAAGUCUGAUGUGAAAGCCCGGGGCUCUACCCCGGAAGUACAUUGGAUACUGGCAGUCUUGAGUAUGGGAGAGGAAAGUGGAAUUCCGAGUGUAGGAGUGAAAUCCGUAGAUAUUCGGAGGAACACCAGUGGCGAAGGCGGCUUUCUGGACCAAUACUGACGCUAGGAUGCGAAAGGGUGGGUAGGGAACGGGAUAAGUUA